rfam:Salmo salar isolate Sally breed double haploid chromosome ssa19, whole genome shotgun sequence.
UGCACUCACUACUGUAAGUCGCUCUGGAUAAGAGUGUCUGCUAAAUGACUAAAA